rnacentral:lncRNA from 1 species
CCAAAACUCUCAAGCUCAAGCCCGUAUCCUGAUCCAUUAUCCAUUUUCCCCAAAAUUCCCAAAUUGAAAUCCAUUUUUCCCAAACGCUUCGUCGCUUCCGUCUGACCGUCUUUCUAGCUCGACUUCUCCUACUUCCGCUUCCAGACUCCAAAGUUCCAGACUUUCAGUUCCAGUAUUCUAGAAUCCCAUAUUUUCUCGCUUGGUUAGUUGGCUACUUAGCUUCGCAGUUCGCUAAAGCCUCGAGUCUGUCUCUCGCCCGCGCACACUCACAUAGAGAGCGAAGGCUAGGCAUAUUUUGGCAAUCAUAGAAAUUCGGGUUGGUUGAACCAUUUAGAGAGAGAAGUGUAUUAAGGCUCAAAUUGCAGUGGAAAAUGGAAGUUUCUAUGAUUCUUGGUUCGGAGAAUGCUGUAACAGCCAGAGGUAGUUCUUGAUUCCAAACUUCCAAUUUGUAAUUAUUAUUUUUUUGGCCAAUUUAAUUUUUUACUAAUAGCAAAAUUAUGAACUUUUUGAAUAUGUAUGUGAACGCUGACUGAUAAGUAAUACCUAACAUAAACAGAGAUCAAGAAAAUUUAGAGGAUUCACAUUAGAUUUGGAACUACGAGGCUUUUUCAGCUAAUUUCACUUUUAGGUACCCGAAGUUAAGCAAAUUAUUUUCACUUUGUCCUUGCAUCAAGGAAAAAGGAACGAAAAGAAAAAAACAAAGUCUAGAGGUCGGUUUUGGAAUUGAAACCUGUUUUCAUAGGCCAAGAAAUCGAGUCUCUUGAGGGAUUUUUGGCACUUGGAUGGGUAUUUGCCUCAUCAACCAAAUCAAGGCGGAGAGUCCAUUUAAUACUAGAACAGGUAUAUUCUCAAAACACAAUUACUUUCUUUAUGUAGAGUGAAAGAGAGAGAACAGUGAAAUUAUGUUUACUAGAGAGAUUGAAAUGAUAAAUUCAAAUUUUGUGAUCUUUUUGAGUUGUUUUUCUGAAACUAAGAAUUCAUGUCCUUUGCAUUUUCUGGUUUGUCAUAUCAUUUGCCUUCAAAGGUAAUAGGAUACCUGAGACUUCUAAUGCUGCAUAGUAUACUAUUUCUUCAUUGAUUUUAAUUGGUGGCAACUAAUUUCUUCUACACAUUGCAUACUACAUAUAACACGUGAAAAGAAAAUUCUACCACCAGAGGAGGUUUGUGUACUUGAAGAGGAAAUUGUUAUGCUUCGAACUCUGAAAUAUUUAAGGUUCAUUUUGAAGAUAUAAUAUGAAUAACUAUAUUUCUCCCUUUUUUAACAACUCAAAUUUUUGGACGAGUCUGUAGUUUUAAAUUAUACAAUUGUUCUAUGUUUAAUUCAAAACUGUUUCCUACUUAUGAAAAUUCUACUUUUCAACCCUUUGAUGAAAAAGUAAAUCUAGUGCGGGUGUGGUAUGCAAGUGAGGACUGUGAACCCUAUUUUUGAUGUACUUGUAUGCUUUUUGUGAAAUUCACGUGAUACUUGAAAUUGAAAGCCUUGAAUAUAUUGUAAUUGUAGUCUGUAUAAUUUGUAUUACUAUGGCUUUAGGUUUAUAGCGUGUCAUUUAGGCUUAAACAAUUUUUUCACCUUGAAGUGCCUAUUAGGGUUUGAGGCUUUGCGUUUAGCUCUUUGCGAAAUUGGAUAAAAAACUUUCUAAUCUAUUUAAAAUAGAAAUAUUCAAUUUGACCAAAGAAUUGUCUAUGUUGACUUAUAGAUUUCAAUAGUGAACUUGUGAUCUUUUGGUGAUGAUUAGGGCUUUCUCGUUGUGAAUAAAAGAAUUUGGGUCAUUUUCAAAAACCUAGGCCUUCAUUUCAAGGGGAGAAACCACAAUCUAUUUCAAGAACUACUAACGAGUAUAUUGACCAGAUCCAAAAGGUAAUCUAUUCGUAAGUCUUGUAAUCUGCAUGAUCACUGUAUUUGUUGGUGUGUAUGAUUUUUCUAAAUUGCAACUUCGCUUUAGUAGCACGUGGCUUUAGUAACAAUGCUGGCACAAAAAACAUGAACUGAUGAUUAAAAAUCAGAGUUGGGCUAAAGUGAAUGUUAGAAUUUUGAUUCCUAAUGCUAUCUUCUAUCAUGUGUAAGUGUAAAAUAGUUUAUAUUUAAUUUGAAUAACUUUGUUUGAUAGAAUGAUAGGUAAAAUGUGUAAUUGUUAUUUCCCUAAGCUUAAUGAUCAUGUUCAUAUUUGUAUUAGCGUUUGAUUUGAUGAUCAUGUUCAUAUUUGUAAUUUUUUAUUAGCGUUUGAUGUGAAAUUUUUGUUUCAGGGUCGUGAGUUGUAAAUCUUAUGACAGUGGAAUUCUCGAAGGUGUAACUCCACAGUUUUCGUAGAAAUUCUACUUCUCAAGUAAAUAAUGGCUUGUCCUAACUUGUUAUUGAAGAGAUUGGAAAUGUUUGAAGCCUUGUCGACUUAUAUAAUUGUAGUCUGAUCGGCUUAUAUGAUUGCUUACUGUACAAUGAACAAUUACAUAGGUGCACGUAGUAACUAUAUUCGAAACUAUAAUUGUGAGAUGAUUGAGAUAUUGUGUAAUUGUUUUUUAGGUUAAUCAUUGGAUAUUAGAUAUACACUUCUA